GCAUUUCCUUGUGGUCACCAACCAAGUCCUGGCCAAAGAAUUACAGACCGAGAAAAAAGACACAGUAUUUACUUGCAAUAGUGGAGCAAAUAAUCAAGGACUGUUUAUGAUACAGGGCUCGUACUGUUCCCUCUCACAUGUUGCGGCAACAUCAAUGGCUUUGGGGCAGCUGUAUUUUUCUCUCUGGUGGACACAUUUCGACAGAUUCGUUUCACUGAAGCAGACAAGGUUUCAUUUGUAAAUAUCUAACUUAAUAGAAGCAUAAGGAAGUUGCUGUCUAGAAAGCUGAUGAAUGG
rnacentral:misc_RNA from 1 species